GGCUUGAUGGUCUAGUAGCAUGAUUCUCCCUUCGGGUUUUCCCGGAUAGUUAUCCACCAUGGGAGAGGUCCCGGGUUCAAUUCCCGGUCAGGCCC